GACGAACGCUGGCGGCGUGCUUAACACAUGCAAGUCGAACGAAGAGCGAUGGAAGCUUGCUUCUAUCAAUCUUAGUGGCGAACGGGUGAGUAACGCGUAAUCAACCUGCCCUUCAGAGGGGGACAACAGUUGGAAACGACUGCUAAUACCGCAUACGAUCUAAUCUCGGCAUCGAGGAUAGAUGAAAGGUGGCCUCUACAUGUAAGCUAUCACUGAAGGAGGGGAUUGCGUCUGAUUAGCUAGUUGGAGGGGUAACGGCCCACCAAGGCGAUGAUCAGUAGCCGGUCUGAGAGGAUGAACGGCCACAUUGGGACUGAGACACGGCCCAGACUCCUACGGGAGGCAGCAGUGGGGAAUCUUCCGCGAUGGACGAAAGUCUGACGGAGCAACGCCGCGGGAGUGAUGACGGCCUUCGGGUUGUAAAGCUCGGUUAAUCGGGACGAAAGGCCUUCUUGCGAAUAGUGAGAAGGAUUGACGGUACCGGAAUAGAAAGCCACGGCUAACUACGUG
rnacentral:rRNA from 1 species